rnacentral:rRNA from 1 species
GACGAACGCUGGCGGCGUGCUUAACACAUGCGAGUCGAACGGUAAGGCCCUUCGGGGUACACGAGUGGCGAACGGGUGAGUAACACGUGGGUGAUCUGCCCUGCACUUCGGGAUAAGCCUGGGAAACUGGGUCUAAUACCGGAUAGGACCACUGCCUGCAUGGGUGGUGGUGGAAAGCUUUUGCGGUGUGGGAUGGGCCCGCGGCCUAUCAGCUUGUUGGUGGGGUGAUGGCCUACCAAGGCGACGACGGGUAGCCGGCCUGAGAGGGUGACCGGCCACACUGGGACUGAGAUACGGCCCAGACUCCCACGGGAGGCAGCAGUGGGGAAUAUUGCACAAUGGGCGCAAGCCUGAUGCAGCGACGCCGCGUGAGGGAUGACGGCCUUCGGGUUGUAAACCUCUUUCAGCACCGACGAAGCGCAAGUGACGGUAGGUGCAGAAGAAGGACCGGCCAACUACGUGCCAGCCGCCGCAGUAA